rnacentral:lncRNA from 1 species
UAUCAGCACUAGUCACUAUUCAUUCCAUGUGUUAUGGAAGUGCUGUUUUCACAGGGUAUCUUUCAUCAACUUUGUAUAUUAUUUCUAAUUUUUCUUAAAAAUUAUAAUACAGCCAUGUAUCAUUAAUUUAUAAAUAAUCAUGCUUAGUUAAUGUAUGCAUGGUUGAUAUCGUAGUUCUGUUGGGAUGAUUGAAAUCUUUGGUUAUCCAAAUAGCAUUAUUUUUACACCUUGGAGAGCAUCCAUGUCUGUGGAAUCAGAGUUAGCUAGCAAGAACAUUGGUACGAGUUUGAUUGAGUUUAACCAAGUCAAAUCAAACUGUUGAUUGCUUCACCAGUUUUCAGUUGUUCUAAUUCGGUUUUAAUAACUGCUGCUGUAUGAGUUUACUUCGAUCCUUGUCAAGUUUCUUUAUAUUUCAUGCUAAGUGACAAUUGAGAAGCCUUCUCAUUUCAUAUUAUUUUACAGAAAUUUAUUUGAUUUCACAACAAAAGGUCUCCUGAGACUGCCAACAUAUUUUACAUCUCAACCUUAGGGGAGCUUCCUGACUCAACUUCAUACUGCUUAAAUUACAUUGCAC